GAAAUGCGAUAAGUAAUGUGAAUUGCAGAAUUCAGUGAAUCAUCGAAUCUUUGAACGCAUCUUGCGCUCCUUGGUAUUCCUUGGAGCAUGCCUGUUUGAGUAUCAUGAAAUCUUCAAAGUAAAUCUUUUGUUAACUCAAUUGGUUUCUACUUUGGUUUUGGAGGUCUUUGCAGCUUCACACCUGCUCCUCUUUGUUCAUUAGCUGGAUCUCAGUGUUAUGCUUGGUUCCACUCGGCGUGAUAAGUUAUCUAUCGCUGAGGACACUGUAAAAGGUGGCCAAGGUAAAUGCAGAUGAACCGCUUCUAAUAGUCCAUUGACUUGGACAAUACUUUUAUGAUCUGAUCUCAAAUCAGGUAGGACUACCCGCUGAACUUAAGC
rnacentral:misc_RNA from 1 species